CAUGUUCUACAUGCAUGUCACGCAGCUUUACGUGUAAAUGAGCACCAUUGAUGCAUUCGUACGUAGAUACGUAAGUAACGUAAGUGCAUGCUCACGUGCGCACGCACGUAGCUCGUACGCAUAUACGCCGAUUCUGAUUCUCCUUAAUCGACUGUAUACGCGUAACUCUACACGCGCCUGCGUUCUUUCUAAUUUUCGUUGCCUUCCUUCGAGAAUCGUUGAAAGUGCUAUGUUGUUUGUCUUUUGAUGCAAUGGAAUGUAUAAAUAAAAGCGUCUUCGACGUACGCGCGUAUCAAUACCCGAUCGACCGAUCGCCCGAAGGACCGAACGACUAACCAACCAAGGGAGAAACGACAAAAACGAUCCUACGUCAAAUCACCCCUCAGACAGUAAGUCGGUGUUCUUCUUUAUUAUAUUCGUAUUUUUUCGAAGUGAACGUAUAUUUUUCUUUUCACAAAUAAAUUAAGCAUCGUUUGAUGCGCUGUUGACACGAUUCGUUUGUGAGAUUCACGAUUGCACCACCGAUUACCGCCUUGUCGCGCGAUCUCUCAAGUAUGUUCACACCGUAACGCGCAGAGAACCCGAAAGAAUGAAGGACGAGGGUGGGACAAGGGAGUAGUGUAGAGAGAAGGAGAGAAAGAGAGAGAGAGAGAGAGAGAGAGAGAGAGAGAGAGAGAGAGAAAUCGGUGGGGUGGAUAUGAAGCAAAGAAGGGGUAUGGAAGAAAGAGAAUGGAAAAAGGGAAAAAAAUGACAGAAAAAUCAAGUAUUUGCACGCGUUACGCGCGUAUCGUAAAAUACGGUAUAUGAAAGUACAUAUACAGCGUAUAUAUAGAUUUUCUCACGGAGAAAAAUGACUAUAUUACACGCGAUGACUCCGUUUUAAUAACACUUCCUCGUGGAAAUCGAGCAAAGAUGGUGUACGAGUCGCUUUAUGCUGGAACGAAAGGUGGCUGGCUGGUUGUCUAGCGCGCGCGCAUUACUCUUACUACGAUACUACGUUAGAACUCGGACGUUUUAGGAGUUAUCGCUAUUCUACUGGUGCGAGCGCGUGCUCGCAACCACCUCUGAAAACAGGAAUGUCGACACCCGACGAAUACUAGCUAAUGGUAAUGGUAGUAGUGUUGUUGGUGACAUUGGCACCCCAGCGAGAAUGAUGCUAGUGAUGUGUAGUAAGAACGACGUUGGCGAUGGAGGUUAGAAUGAGGAGGUUAGGUGAGAGCGACAACAACAGCGGUAACGACGGGAUUGGGCGUAAAAAGAUAUUAGAUUGACGACAUUUUCGAGAAAGUUGAAGGUGGUGAAGGUUGCGAGACAUGGAAAUGAACAGAGGCGAUGAAAGGAAACAGAGAUCGAUCAAACACUAAUAAGAGCUGUCCCUUGCCAAGAGCGAAACCGAACGUACGAACAAGUUUAAGCUAGCGAGAAGAGAGUGAGAUAUUUGCAAUCUCUUAUGGUAACAAAGAUGGUUGAAAUGGCCGGACGCGCAAACUCAGUAUCAUUGAUUUAACGCCUAUCUAUAUUUUCAAACGCAAAGUCGACUCCCUAGAUCCGAAGAAUUUCGAAAGCUGCAACGAUUUUUCCAUCUUUUUACCUUUUCACUUUUACAUCGUAAACCCGUAAUUAAAAAUAACGCUUUCCUCUUCCACGACUCACCUGUGUAAAUAAAUAAUUGAUGUAUUAAUUUGAAAAUAAAUAAUUCCAAAAUAUAGUUUAUUAAUAA